AUUCCUGGGCUGAAAGGCAUGAAAGGAGACCCUGGCCCAAAAGGACCGAAGGGCGAGAAAGGCAGCAUGGGAGACCUCGGCCAGCAAGGGGACGAUGGCUUCAAGGGCAAGCAAGGACCCCCCGGUGUCCCUGGGAGGCCAGGACCCAAGGGAGAGCAGGGUGACGACGGUCCCUCUGGUCCGUGGGGGUUCCCUGGGUUUCCUGGGAAGCCGGGCUUGCCAGGACAGAAAG